GCGGCAAUGAGCAUUUGGGAAAUAUACAUAAAAAAAGGGGGGGAUCGAAGCAUGCUGAGCCGUAUCCGAGUGCGAGUUCGAUCAUGAACGCUCGUUAUUUUUGAGAAGUGGCGCGCACAAGUGGCCAUGGAUUUUUGCGCUGUAGGGUUGUUUGCAAAUCCUUGUCCUCCGAUUGGCGCGGCCCUAGCAGCAUUUGUUUAUUGUAAAGCGACCGCAUUGGUGCGGCUCUAGCAUCGACUGAUUUCAAAGUUAUUGCAUUGGUGCGGCUCUGGCAGCGAUUUUUAGUAUAAAAAUCGGCACCUCGAGCCGAUCAAAGACACUUCUUUCUUUGGCUCCACGGUGUGGAGAUCGAUACAAAAUAGCAAUAGUUGCGGUCUAAGGGUGACCCCUUGCAGUUCUUAUGUUGUGAAUCAGACUGGUGAUCCAGGAGCAAACAGGUAAGGGUUGACUCCUGGUGAGUACCCGAAACAGUGAGUCGUGCGAGUGGUCCGCGAAUAGACGGGAAAGUACAAGGGUACUGUUUCCAGCUCACGGUGCGGCGAUCUCGGCGACGGCCCUGGCCAACCGUGCAGCAUCCGGCCUUGUUGUAAUACGGGCCUACUUCCAGAAGGGGAUUGAGGUACUCCUGAAGUUGAGGGACCAAUGGGCAGUAGCGUAAUUAAUUUGAGUUGCCUCAGCUCAAGUUGAGUCACACAGUAGGCGCGUGCCUCUGCUCAGUUUCGGGUGUUACUCGAAGUUGUUAGACAAUGGAUGAGAGAUCGAGUUAUUCAAAUCAGAGGUGUGCAGUGCUACUAUUUUGGGGACAGGAGCUGGUAGGCUGGACUUCCUGGCGGUUACAGGGACGAUUAAAUAUUCUGAUUGAAGCACACAUGGCUGGUACGAAGUUUCGUCUAAUUAUGGAAAUUCUAAUUAAAAUAUCUUGGCCAGAAGUGUUAUUCGAA